UAUUGUGUGCAUCCCUAUAGCGUAGAGUUAAUGCAUUGGAUCCCAUUAGAAAUCCACGGUUAAGUGUGCUCGGGCUAGAUUAGUACUGGGAUGGGUGACCACCUAGGAAGUCCUAGUGUUUUACAUACC
rnacentral:rRNA from 1 species